rnacentral:lncRNA from 1 species
GAAAAUAACUAGUACUGAGCGUGACCAUACGAGAGAUCACUUGGAUUUGUACUCAAUCAUCCGUGAUCAUCUCGAUGCUGUAGUUGUGUGAAUGGUCCUUUGAUGUGCAAUGGCAUGGUUGCUCACAAUGUGACUGUUGAAAUUUGACUAAUACAUAAACAUGGCUUUAUUGAGUCAUUGUAGUGAAUAUUGGCGAUAAUUGAUUCACUGUAGGAGUAGGGUAUGCAUCUAAAUGGAAGCUAUCGAUCUUGAUAAAAAAAAGUAGUCCUAUGA